rnacentral:rRNA from 1 species
UCAGACGAUGCGUCAUGCAUAUCAAUAAGCGGAGGAAAAGAAACUAACAAGGAUUCCCCUAGUAACGGCGAGUGAAGCGGGAAGAGCUCAAAUUUGAAAUCUUAAAGGGUUUCCCUUUACGAAUUGUAGUUUAAAGAAGUGUUUUCUGUUGAGGUUUUGGUAAAAGUUCUUUGGAAUAGGACAUCAUAGAGGCUGAGAAUCCCGUAUUUGACCUUUACUUUCAACUUUGUGAUACACUUUCAAAGAGUCGGAUUGUUUGGGAAUGCAGUCCAAAAUGGGUGGUAAAUUUCAUCUAGAGCUAAAUAUUGGCGAGAGACCGAUAGCGAACAAGUACCGUGAGGGAAAGAUGAAAAGAACUUUGAAAAGAGAGUUAAACAGUACGUGAAAUUGUCAAAAGGGAAGCGUUUGACACCAGUGUUGUUUUUCUGAAAAUCAAUUAAAGAACUGUUUAUGCUAAGCUGUUUAGACUUUAUCAGCUAUCUGUUUAGUUUUGAGCUUUUCUUUAAUGCACUUUUCAGUUAACAAGUCAACAUCAAUUUCUUUUGCUGUAAAAAAGCUUGAGGAAGGUGGCUUGAGAUUCGUCUUAAGUGUUUAUAGGCCUCUUGCCUAUGCAGUCGGAGAGAUUGAGGUCUGCAGCGUAGAUCCUUCGGGGCUAAAUGCAUUUGUGCUAAGUUAUAGCAUUUUAUAGACAACUUGUUGACUAUGAUUUGUCUUGUAGCUUACUCGCUUAUGUUAUUUUACCUACGCUUAGGAUGUUGACACACGCGCGUGCUCG